GAGCUCGGCAUAGCUGACAUCAUCCACGCCCAUGGCAAGCCAACCUCCCUCCUUGAACUAGCAACCAAACUAUCCAUACCCCCCACCAGAAACAACGACCUGCGCCGCCUCAUGCGCCUCUUGGUGUUCUCGGGAUUCUUCGCUCGGGAGCGAGAUGGAAACAGUCACGACCACGACGAAGAGCUGUACAUCCCCACCACCAUGUCUGCUCUCCUUGUCAAUCAGAAAGAUGUGAACGUCUCGUCCUUCGCUCUCGCAAUGCUGGACCAAAUGUUCCUACACCCAUGGUAUCACCUCAGUAGUUGGCUCAAGCAAGAUAAUCUGCCGGCCACUCCCCUUGAGGCAGCACAUGGGAAGGGUGUUUGGGAGGCCACCAGCCAAAGCCCGGCCUUCAACAGCUUGCUGAACGAGGGGAUGGCAAGCGACGCUCGGUUCGUGGCCAAAGUGGUUGUGGAGGAGUGCGGCGAGAUCUUCCGGGGCCUGAGCUCGCUGGUGGAUGUUGGUGGAGGGACGGGCACGAUGGCACGUGCCAUCGCCGAUGACUAUCCACACGUGAAGUGCACCGUACUUGACCUCCCUCAGGUGGUAGCGAGCUCGGAAGCGGGCGAGACGGUCCAGCUUGUCGCGGGAGACAUGUUUCAGUAUGUUCCUCCUGCUGAUGCGGUGCUGCUCAAGGUAUGCUCCUGCUCUAGUACUUUGUGGUGACUUGAUGUACAUAUAGUAGCUCUGUUUCAUGCCACAGUAUUUGUUAUAAACUAAAUUAUAUAUAUGCAGUAGUUCAUUGAAGAUUCAGAUCGAGGAUUAAAGGACCAUUACUUUGAUAUAGUAGCCACAUCAUCUGUUAUAAAAGAAAAAUCUAAAACAAUUUAUUAAAAGCAGAUAUUUUUAUUAAAGAUCUGAAUUUUGAUAUUAUCUGCUUGCAAACGUGAAUCCCCUCAAUUUAUCACGUUUGGAUUUGAUCCUUCAUGUUUUCGGGAAAAAUUCAAUAUACAAUUUACACUCCUAUAAGGGCGUCAGCUCUCUAAUCUAAAAAUAUUUCGGGCAUCAGUUUGCAUGUUCAAAAAAUUUGUAGCUAAGAGAAAUUUAAGUUUCCUAAGAAAAAUGUAAUAUUCUUUUAAUGGAUCUGCUGAAGGUGAUUAAAAGAACCGAUUGCAUGCUAAAUCAAGAGUGGCAUCAUUACCCCACCAAGUGAGUGCUCUUGAUUUAUGCCAAAUAAGACGCACUAAUUAGCUUGAUUACCCAGAGCAAGCUGGCAGAACUUUUUUUGGCUUGCCGAUUAACUAUCCCCACUUGCUCCACACUGAAAUAAAAUACUGGGAAGGUCCUACUACCCAUUGCAUCCAAAAAAAAAAAAAAAAAGAAAAAAGAACUAUUUUCCACUUGCAUCCAAGAGAUGUGAUGCGGCCGAUCCAUCGAUCGUUAGAUUUGUGCACUAUUGUGGAUGUUGGGCAGGUGAAAUGUGUCCUGGUAAUAACAUAAUUAUUUGACGCUCAACUACACACGUAGCUUGUUCAGCGCUGAAAGGAAAAAAGGUCGUUUGUUCUCGGCAAACAAGGUCAUGGUUUUCUUACGUGGUUACCUAACCCUCAAAUUUGAAGCUGACAUUGAUAGAUUGGCACAAAAACAAGAAAAGCAUAACAAAAAGUAAUCCCAUGUGUUUGAUAACUUCCAGCCUUACCAUAUGUACGUCUUACUUCUGAUGGUCGAUCAUUUUUUAUUGUGGGUGCUGCAUGACUGGAGCGACGAGGACUGCGUGAAGAUACUGAAACGAUGCAAGGAGGCUGUUCCAUCUGAAGAAAAGGGAGGGAAGGUGAUUAUUAUUGAAAUGGUAGUCGACUUCGACAUUAGAUCUCCUGAGUUGGCCGAAACACAGCUGCUCUUUGAUAUGCACAUAAUGGUCCAAACCACAGGAAAGCAAAGGAAUAAAUAUGAAUGGAGAAACAUUUUUAUUGAUGCAGGUUUUACCAACUACAAAAUCACAUCAGCAUUGGGAUUACGAUCGAUUAUCGAGGUUUAUCAUUGACCGGUGAAUAGAUAAGGGAAGCCAUCUAAUGGUGGCCAUAAAUUGAUCAAUUUGCUGCUCUCUUCUGGUUUAAUCUUAGAUCUUCAUUAUGUAACGUAUUAGAAGUCUUAUGAUGCUCUUAUUGGUGGCUUUCCCUAGAAUUCCAGCGAUGUUUAUGUUCGUCUUUAUUUAGUUUGGGAUAUAUACGUCAUAUUAAUUAGUUGAUUGGCUUUCUAAGAGCAGACAUAAUAGAAGGUACUUCUUGAUUUUCCUUUCUAGAGAGUUAGUUGUGCCUUACGAGCUGGAAUCCUUCUGGCCGAUAUUAGUAUGGUCUCAUCAUAUGCCAUGGAAAGAAAAAAGAAAAUAUCUUAACUAUGAAAUGACAAGCUGAAAUCAAUCAAGUGCUUUUUUUUUUUUGGUAGAAAUCAUGCGCAUUCAUCACUGGAAACUUAUUGAGGUCCGUACUAAGAAAAAAAGGCAUUGACAUAUCAGACAUUUUUAUUCUAUUAAUCUCUGCCCAGCUAUUCUUGUUAUCCUAGAGAAUCACAAGAGAGAAAUCUGUAAGCUGACUACUAAUCUUACUGACCUAAACUAAUGGCCUAAUCACCAAAUCCAAAGUGGAAUUCUUACUCGCAUAUACUAUUCUCACUUUCUCAGAGUGCUACGGUGUACUCGUUUCCAUUCACUCACUACUGCUAAAGACAACAGAAAAUGGUGUCUAUCAGCAAAGCUCAUCUACUGAUUAGAGGCUCAAGUUACUUGGGUUUUAUUAUCAUGCAUAGAAAAGGGGAAAAAAAUUGCCAUAGGAAUAUCUCCAUUGAAGAAUUAAGCUGUUGAAGAUCUGGAGAGAAGACGAAAAGGACAACCGAGAAAUAUUAUACAUAUUAUACAUAGGACAAAGCUUUGGCAUUUGGCCAAGAAAUAUUAUACAUAUUUAAUUAUGUGAAGUGGUCUAGGCCUAUUUAAGACUUGGCUAUCUCUGGAUGGACCCCAAAAUUUUUUUUUGAAAAAAAAAAAACGAAGCUGGGAUUGGGUUGGGGUGGUGCAAGCCGGCCUAGCCCACUCUAAGCUUCCACUAAGGUGCCUAUAGUACGGGCUAAGCAAUAGAUCAAAACAUUUCCUGAUUCCCCAGAUACUAAUAGUUAACUUCUAUUGUACGUUAAUUUUGUAGCUGAUCAAGGAGUCUAGUUUGUACAGGAACUAGAACACCAUUAUACAAUACUGUUUGGGUUUUUUUCAUUUUUCUCUUAAAUAAGAAUACGGUUUGAUUUGGGCUGUGUUAUGGCACAACUGACGUAUAUGUUCCGGUUUUGAUUAGGUGGGAUCACCUCAUUUCCUAUUACGUUAGAGUUUGCAACCCAUAGGAGAUGUAAGGUAGAUAUUGCACCAAGCAAGCCGAAGGGUUCAGGUUGCUGAGUUCUAUUGUUCUUUUAGGAAGAGAAGAGGGAGGGCUGGACCGCUAUCCGCACCAAAAUUAUCUAGGUUCAAAUAUUUAAGACAUCCUAUUCGAGAUUUAAAUUUAGAACUUCCGGUUACCAAGCAUGUGAAUGUGACCACUAGGAUAAACCCCAAUUCACUAAUUUCUGUUGAUGUGAGAAGCAAACUUGCUCAAUGCAACUUGAACCUGGUUGGUUAUAAUCCAUGCCUCUUGUCGACGAGCAAUGAUACCAUGACUCAUCUCAUGUAGACUGACAUGCAGAAGUGAAUAUACAGAGAUGGCAUAUUGAAUGAUUUACAGCCAGGUUUAGGAAGCAAGCAGACUUGGUUUAAUUCAAAAUAAAAUAAAAAAAAUUCAUGUCAAUAUUUCAUAUUGUGAGGGCCGACAAUAGAAAUUUUUCUUGUGAGAAGGUGGUAACUCGAGAAGAGACCCAUAUUUUUUUUUUGUUAAAAAAAAAAUUAAUGGAGGAAGCAAAAUGCUUCCCCCUAUUAUAUCAAUAUGAACACAAUUUACAGAAUUGCUGAAUUACAAUUGUUGGGGUAAAUCCUCAUCGCCCAACCAACUAACAUGCUUCUUCAUCUCUCUGUUGACUAAGGGAGCUGCACCGACUAAACUGCUAUGACUUAAUCUGACUUAGACUAGUGAGCGUCAUCUAAUCGGCUGUCCAUCGCCUACUAUCAACGACAUCUAGCCGUUUAAGGGCAGCAGACAUAAUAGAGUCAGCCCCAAGCCGAUUAGGUUCGAUAUGCUGCAUACGACGAAUGACAAAUGGCAUGGGCCGGCAAUUUACUCAAUGUUCAGCCGACUAUGCCAAUUGAUGAUGGAGUGCCACCCCUCGACAAGUCCAUUCUACCUACUUCAAUGGCAAGGGUCUCAGCCUACUAGCUGAGCACCAAAAGUGGCCGCCAUGUUAUUCUGACAAGCCAUGUCGGGCCAUAUCACUUAGAUGCCAUACCCAGGCCGGCUGGCUGCGCGCAAUGAUGUGAUGCUAUGGAUUUAUUAAUUGCGCCUACGGGAUCAUUUAUUAUGUCCCAUGCAUGGUAGCGUCCGCUGUCACAAUCACGUACGCAUCAAGAAGAAGGCACGCCCACCUUCAUAACCAUUUAAGGAUGCCCACAUGGCAUCGCAUAGCUAACAGGAGAUGAUUGACAUGAUCACCUAUCCUCUCAUCAUCCACAUUGCUUUCUCUAUAAAUAGAGGUAAGUGGGUACCCAUCCAGGUAUGCAACAUAGGCUCCAUGCUGAGACUCUGUUCCUCUUUCCAUUGAGUUCUAUUUCUGACUUGAGUGUUGGAGGAUCCUCACUGGAGAAACCUCUGACAGGAUUUGUCUUGCAGGUCUCGCUCCCUCCGAUAGCCCAGCACUUCACCAAGAUCCAGCCGCCCCGAUGUCUGUGGAAAUCAUCGCUAGUGCACACCUCCAGCUCUCGCUCUUGCCAUUGACCAUUUCUGCUGUGUCCUCUGACAGGUGAGUCCCCUCCUCAGUUUUCUACUGCACAGUAACCAGGCGCAUCUACUUGGCUCCAGGCCGACUAUCCCAUCGGAGAUAGGCUGCAACAGAUUGGCACGCCAGGUAGGGUAAGAAAAAGUAAACAAAGAUUAUUCCUCUCAAGAACCUCUAUGGCUAAGACGAGGACGCAAAAUGCCUCUGCAGGCUCCGCUCGCUUGAUGUGCCUCGAUGACUCUUGUAGAGCCGAGUGCCUCAUGGCCAGUGGUGACAGCAGAUCUCCAAUAAUUUGUUGCCCUUGUGCAGCUAGUGAAGAAGCUGACGGAGGCCAUCCAUGGUCUCCAGCAGUAGCAGUGGCUGGAGGAGAUGGUGCCAUACGGCGUGCAUUCCCAACAUAGUCGUUGGGCCCAAUCCCCAACCCGCUGUUCGACUCGACACUCCCGUCAGGUGAGUUCUUGACCCAUCUGAUGAUCACCGCAUCUCGACUCUCGAUGCGCUCCACGUUCUGACUUUGGUGAUCGCCAGUCUCCUUCCCCUUGACGAGCUCCACACCAAGGGAAGAGACUGCGGUCUCCGCCAAAAUCUUCUUCUUCUAAAGAAGACUCUAUCCUAGGCUAUUCGCGAAUCCAGAUUAGUCUCAGCGAUGGUUGGAUGAGUACGAUCGAAAGAUGAGAGAGCUAGAUCACCGCAUGAAUCAGCUCUAGACAAACCAUCGGGACCCCAUCAAUGAGUUCGGCAUUAGCAGCAGUCCGUCUUUCUCUCGACGGAUCCUUGACGAGUCGAUUCUUAGUCGGUUCAAGAUAUUGUAAAUAGAGCCAUACGAUGGCUCCACUGAUCCAGUACUCGACCACCUCGAGAGCUACAAAGCUCUCAUGCUCCUCUAAGGAGCAUCCGACGUCCUCCUUUACAUUGCCUUUUCGAUUAUCCUCUAGAAGACUGCCCAAACAUGGUACUUCGGGCUUAAACCUGGAAGCAUCCACUUGUUCGAGCAGUUCAAGCAGCUCUUCGUGGUACAUUUCGACACCAACCGGAGGGUGCCAUGCACCUCCGACAGCCUCUUCUCCAUCCGACAGCAGGAUGGAGUCUUUAUGUGAUUUUAUGGCGUGCUUCAAUACCGCCACUCUGGAGGUCAAAGAUCUCAAUGAGUCGAUGGCAAUUGCCACUAUGAAGCGGGGAUUGCAUAGCUUCAGGUUUACCUACUCUUUGGACAAGAUGUUUCUCUAGACUUAUGCCAAAUUUCUCGAGUACGAAUAGAAGUGCAUCCACACCGAGGAAGGUGCGAUUGACCGGCACCAGUCCGAGGGCAAAGGUUAGAAAAAGAAAAUGAAAAAAAAAGGAAUCUCUGUGGGAGCCAGUCGAGUCUACACUGAGAAGGAGGCUCCAUCUUCUUGACGAAAUCUGAAGCCCAAAAGUUUCGGCAACAGGUAUGACUCCUACACCUCUCUGACUACUUCUCUUGCGCAUGAAGAUAGAGGAGAAGAGCUACCUCCAAUGAUCUCAGCCCAUGAAGUCCAGGUCAGUGCUCUGUAAUCAAAGACACUACUGUCGGUUCCAUCGCGACUAUGGCCACUACACCAAACAGUGCAUUAAGCUAAAGAAUGAGUAUGUUGCUGGUCCACCGUUUCAUUCCAUCGUGAGGCACUCGGCUCCCCGAAGGUCAUCGGAAGUGCGUCACGCUACGAUGAGCAUCGAGCGAAACUAAGGAAAGCAUUUUUCGCUCUCAUCUUGACCAUUAUAACUCUUGGAAUGAUGUUUCUCCCCCCUUCUUGGCCACUAUAACUCCUGAAAAGAUGUUUCUCCCUCCUUUUAUCUUGCUCUGGCUAGUGGUCAAUCUGGAUAUCGACAUCGGCCAAACAGCUAACAGUCAAGUCUGGCCAUCAUGCAGUCUCAUCGGAUCACAUCAAGUCGCAUCAUCAUGAGAUUAUAUGCUAAGCGGUCUCUCGGGCACCGUGAUAGGACACUACAAAAUUAUUAAUUAGGCCAUAUAAGCACGUGAGACCCACCACCACGACCAUCGGCAUGUCGGACAAAAGCAUACCAGCUGACAGGACCAUUUAAAGAUACCCCCAUGCGGCUCCAUAUGAUUGAACGUUGUCGGAAUGCUCUCCUGUCUUUUCAUCCUUCAUCCUGCUCUCUCUAUAAAUACGGGUAAGAAAUGACCCCCAGGAGGUACACACACUCAAAUACUCAGAGUUCAAAACUCUGUCUACUCGUUCCUCCAUCUGUUGAGCUAAAAACUGACUUGAGCGUCGGAGAGUUCUUGCCGGAGCCAUCUCCAGCGAAGGCUUUUCUUGUAGAUUUUUUGGCUGCCAUCGGACGCCACCGGCCGACCUUUCCAUCCAACCCAAGUUGACCUUGCCUCCAUUUAAUGCACCGUGAGCCCUCGUUCUCAUUUUCGUCUCUCUCGACUGUGUCUUCUCUCCGACGAGCAGUCCUUCUCCACUAGCUUCCUGUCGUUCGACACUCAGAUGCAACGAUCCAACUAUCCCAUCGAAGACGAGCUGCAACAAAAAAUAUUUAUUUAUAUUUCAACUAUUCAUAGGCAAAUCAGUUAACAUUAAUUAAUGGUGUCCAAGCCAUGCUCAAGAAUGUGUAAGAGAAGAUGUUUCAUUUUUUUCUAUCAAUUUCUCUAAAUCUAAUAAAUUCAUCUAUAUCCUCGUUAAAAAUUACAAAAUAUUCUUUUCUUAAUCAAUUGUGAGAAAUUGGAUAUUAUUUUUUCUCUAAAAACAUCAAUUGUUCACAAGAUAAAGGCCAUGCCCUAUAUGUUUUUCUUAUUUGUUUACUUAACUUCAAAAUUUGAGGAACGCAUUGAUACAUGGGGAAAAAAAACAACAAAAAACCGGUCCCAUAUGUUUGAUAAUGUUCAAUCAUCCUCCAUGUCUUAGUUCUUAUGAUUAUUAUUUGUAGUGGGUGCUACAUGAUUGGAGUGAUGAGGGUUGUGUAAAGAUGCUAAAAUGAUGCAAGAAGACUGUUUCAUCUAAAAAAGAAUGGGGGAAGGCGAUCAUUAUUGAAAUGGUGGUCGAUUUGGAUAUUGGUUUUCCAGAGUUGAUUGAAACACGGCUGCUUUUUGACAUGUACAUUGUUGUGGCCAAUCCCCUCGUCGCCUGGUCGCCGGGAACGAACGCCUGCAAAAGAAAGUCCAUACUGACCGGAGGUGGCUCCGUCGGGGAUCCUCCGAUGGUCAAGUCAGAGAGGAGACUAGACAACAGUAAAAAGGAAACAAGGAGCUCAGCGAGAGAGAGAGAGAGGGAGAGAAAGAGGGCUUGAGAGUUUUCGAAGGGACUUCUUUAGCACUGUUGCCUUUUUCGAUUUAUAGUGGGAGGUGGUAUGGCCUCGUGGUAUGGCCUCGCCGUUGGUGAUAUAGACAACUGGAGAGUUGUCAAAUCAUCGGAGGUUGUCACGUCGUUGACGAGUUGACAGGUCCUAGGAAUUAAUUUGCGUCCUUGGCAGGACAGCGCCCCAGGUUUUCCGAUAGAGGAAUGCCUUCUGGCAUUCGUACGGCGUUUGCUUGAUAGGACUGCAGCCCAUGCCGCUCAUUCGGCGUCUAGAAGGACCUGUAGAGGUGGGACGUCAGGUAUCCAAACCGAUGGUUAGUCGGCGGUAUCCCACCCGAUAGGAAGUCGGUCACGGAGGAUCGGCUCUCAGGUAAUCAGAGGCGAUGUUGACCCGUUAGGCCGAUCCACUCUGAUCGGGCACGAUCGGUAGUCACUGUCGGUGUUGCCCACCGUCGGUCGGACGAAGUCGGUCGGGCCCGUAGUAGAGUCGGAGUUGAGGAUGGGUCGACGCUGGUGAGUCGGCAGUAGGGUCGGUCGGUAUAUCCCAACAUACAUGAUGAUCCAAACCAUGGAGAAGCAACAGAAUGAAUGUGAAUGGAAAGAAAUUUUCACUGAUGCAGAUUUUACCGGCUACAAAAUCAUACCAGCAUUAGGCCUGCGAUCGGUUACCGGGGUUUACUAUUGACCAGUAAAUAGAUAAGAAAAGUCAUCUACUGAUGGCCAUGAAUUGAUCAGUUUGCUGCUUCCUUCUAGUUUAAUUUUGAUCUUCCGUAUAUAACGCAUUAGAUGUCUUACGGUUGCACGGAUCUGACUGUUUGCUUUUGGUUGAAUUACCAUGAUGUUUGUGUUAGUCUUUUUUGAGUUUGUGAUUUGUCUGUCGUGUCAAGUUGAUUGGUUUUCUCAAAGCUGAAAUAAUAGAAGGUACUUCUUCACUUGCUGCUCUAGAGAUGUUUGCUAUGCAUUAAUGGUUGAAAUCCAUUAGGACGAUACUAAUUGGCCUUGUGAUGUGCAAUUAAAAGGAAAAAAGAAAAAGACAUCUAUCUUAAUAGUGGAUUGACAAAAUAAUUGAAAUCAAUCAUGUGUAUUUUAUCAUGGGAAACUUACAGAGGCCCACACUAUGAAAAAUACCACCAACAUCCAACACCGUUAUUCUAUUCUCUAGCAGAAAAUUUAGGUUUUUUUCUAGAAUCUUAGAGAUGGUGAGUUGAAAUAUUAUGUAUACUUCACAUAAAAAAAAAUAGACCUUAUAUUAUCUAAAAUGAAUUUAAUAUAUUUGUUCGAAUGAAUAUUAUAAAAUAUCAUUUAAUAUCUAUAAUACAAUAAUUUCUAUUAUAAAGUAAUAUUUUUUUUAAUGUAAAAAAGGUAAUUCAUUAGAAUUUGUAAAUUAUAAUAUCAUAGAGCGAUGUGGUCAUGGAUAUGACAAUUUAUGUUGACGUAGUAUGCAAAAUGACAAAUCAAGCAGUCUCUUUGGCUGAUUUCGAGGCCUGAGGUCGCUGGGUUUUUUUUUUUAAUUUAUUUUUUAUUUUCUAAAAGUAACCCCCACCCUCCAUCUUAUUUGCGAAAUUACAAACCACGUCGAAAUCGCCAGUUCGCGGCCACCUUGGCGCCGAUAUGAUUUUUCUUUUUUUUUUCGGCUCAACGGAGGGGAGGGGAGGGGAGCGUGGCCGGAGGGCCAGGGGGUGGCGUCGGGAGAGAAAUGCGGUCAGGGGGCUGGGGCGAUGUCGGAGGUACGAUGGGCAGGGGCCGCAGGAGGGAAGGCAUGGAUGGACGGUGAUGGUGCUGCAUGGGUUGGCCGUCAGUAGAGAAAAGCGAUCGGAGGGAUGGGAGGAAGAGAAUGAANNNNNNNNNNNNNNNNNNNNNNNNNNNNNNNNNNNNNNNNNNNAUAAAUAAUUUUAAAAUUAAUAAAAAAUAAAUAUAAAUUAUAUUUUUUAAAAAAUAUUUUUAAAAUUAAUAAUUUAUUAUUAAUUGAAAUCAUCACUUGAAUAUGCGGUUUUAUUGAAAUCGCUAGUUGGACCGGCGAUUUCACUGGAAUCGCCAUUUGGACCAGUAAUUUCAGUAAUAAUAUUUUAAAAUAAAUAUUAUUUUAAAAAUAAUUUAAAAAUAAAUUAUUUUUUAAAUUAUUUUUUAAAUUUUUAAAAAAAUUAUUUAUUAAAAUUAAUAAUUUAUUAUUAUUUUAAAAAUCUAUUUUAAACUCAUACAGUUUUGUGCUGAACACCCAUAAUCCCCCCUCCGAUGCCACCCAUGUCUCCUCUAUGCUCAUCUGUAUUUUUUAAAAUUAUUUUUUAAAAAAUAAUAUUUUAUUAUUAUUUAAAAAUAAUAAUAUUUUUUUAAAAUAAUUUAUUAUUUUUUAAAUAAUAAAUAAUAAUAAAUAAAUUAUUAUUUUAAAUAAUAAUUUUUAAAAUAAUAAUAAAAUAUUUUAUUACUGUGUCAAGAUACAGCGGUAAUCAUGGUUCCGGGUUAACUUUCUUUGUACUUAGUAUUUUUGUAACAUUUAUUGUACUAUUUUUUAUACACUUGAUAUUUUUAUUCUAUUUAAUAUUAUUAAAUAUUAAUUUUAUUUUAUAUUAUUUAAUUUUAAAUGAUCAGAUAUUAUGCUUUAUGGAUAUGGAUACACAUACUCGAAUGUGUCUCAGAACAUUAGGAGGAAAAAAGUUAUGCUAAAAGGACUAUAGAAAUUAUAACAUAAAGUUAUGCUAAAGUUAUUUCAAGUGAGGGACAUUUUCUCAUUUUCUUUUUAUUUUUUACUUCUUUGUUUGGAAUAUUUUUUUAAAAAAUAAUUUGGAAUGAGGAAAGUAAUUUGAAAUGAUAUUUUUUAUUUCAAAUAAAUUUAAAAAUUUUAUUUUUUUAAAUUAAAAAUUAUAAUUUUUAUUUUUUUAUUUUUAAAAUAUUUUAUUUUUUAUACUAUUUUUUUAUUUUAUUUUUUAUAUAUUUUUUAAAAAAAAUUAAUUUGAAAUGAAAAAAGUAAUUUGUGAUUGAUUAUUGAGGCUUAUCAUUGACUAGUGGAUAGAUAAGGAAAAUCAUCUAUUAGUGGCCAUGAAUUGAUCAGUUUGCUGCUUCCUUCAAGUUUAAUCUAAGAUUUUCAUUAUAUAACGGACUAGAAGUCUUAUGGUGUCCUUAUUGAUUGCUUUUUGUAGAAUUACCAUGAUGGUUGUAUGAGUCUUCGUCGAGUUUGUAAACUAUUAGCCGUGUUAAGUUGAUUGGUUUUCUCAAAGCUCAAAUAAUAAAAAGGAACUUCUUUCGCUUGCCUCUCUAAAGAUAGUUUGCUGAGCAUUAAGAGUUGGAAUCCUUUUGGACAAUCUUAAUUUGCUUUCAUUAUGUGUAAUGAAAAGAAAAUAAGAAAAAAUAUCCUAACUAUGAAAUAAUAAAUUAAAAUAACUUCGGUGCCUUUCAUCACGUGAUACUUACAAAAGCUCGCACUAAGAAAAAUACCACUGACAUCCAACAUCUUUGUUCUAUUCUCUACUGAGAGAAUCCAAGCUUUCCGUAGAACCCUAGAGAUGACAAGUUGAAAUAUUAUACACUUCACAUUAAUAAAAACUUAUAUAGUCUAAAUAAAUUUAUUAUAUUUAGUUAAAUGAUUAUUAUAAAAUGUCAUUUAAUAUUUAUAAUAGAAAUAACUAAUUGAUCAACAUGACCCUACUCAAAUUACUACAUAUUUAUUUUAUUAUGAGGCAAUCUUUUUUUAUAUAAAAAUAAAAGGGCGAUCCAUCCGAAUUUGUAAAUUAUAAUUUCAUAGAGCUAUGUGGUCAUGGAUGACAACUCAUGUUGGCAUAGCAUGCAGCGGGUACAAGUUAAAAAAACAAAUCAAGAAGAGUCUCUUUGGCUAAAUCACAAGGUUUCUAUACAACUUUUAUAUAAUUAUUUAUUAUUAUCUAUUUGCAUCCUCGCUUACAAUGUUGGAUUAAAAUAAUAUUAUUUUAUUCUCAUGAUCACUUUGAUGUCGUUAAUAUAAUAGACUGGCUGUAUGAUUGCUAACAAGUGUGAUAUAUUUUAUUUAAUGUGACAUGCCUUGAAACAUUAAAGCAUUCAUUAAGCGACACAGCUAGAUCCACGGGGUUCGCGAAAAUAUGUUUGUUAAUGUUUAGAGGCUCCAGCAAGAGCUACUGCAUUAUGUCCUUUAACAUAGCACUUUUUGUUUGUUUUUUGUCAUCGGUCCAUCCGUGACUUUUCUUUUUUUAAUUUGAGGGAAUCAAGAAGGGAGUAAGAUGCUUCCCCAAAAGUAUCAAUUUUUUUAAAAAAAAAAAAUAUAGAAAAAGAAGAAAAGAAGGAGAUAGCCGUUCAUAGCGGUGUACUCAAGUGGCCGAGUAGCGAAGGAAGAAAACAAAGGUCACAGAAAGAUCAAAGAAGAGAUGCAGCUCCAAACUUUGCGAUGGCUUUCAGUCACCUACUUUGAGCUCUCUCACAGGGCAGGAAUGAAGAGCCUUAUGGAGGACAGUGAUAGAUCGAACCAUGGUGAUGGAGGAAAAGUGAUCAUCCAUUUUAAUUUUUUCAAGCCAAAUGUAUCAAAACGUUGUCAACAAAAGUUGAUCCACUCUUUUGAACGAUGAUCGAACAUUCUUCUCCAUGUGGUCGACAAAAAUGCAGGUUAGUUGGCCAACCAUAAAUAGUAAUCCAAAUACCAUUUCUCCAUCUGCGAGUUGGGUGGCUUAGCAUGAGAAGCUUUGCCGUCUCCGGUGCCGCACGCGAAAAAUAUCGUGCAUCACGCGGGGCUAUAUCAUGUUAGAGGAAAAGCCUAUACCUAUCUAAGCUGCUUUUUUUUUUUUUAAAAAAAAGGAAAGUCAGAGCUUUAUUGUAUGCAAUAGCAAAAGUUAGAACAUUCCAAUACAAGCAAAAAGAACAGCACAACUCUUACCCAAAAAAAAAAACACAACACAACGUGAUCACCAGUGCCUCGGUAUGACCCAUGUGAAUUCCGUGCACAAGAAGACAGAACACUGCGACAUGACGGCUAGAUCUCCAAGCAUCCGAACUUCUCACUCACCCUACUGCACAGAUAUUGCUUUUACGUCGCAUAAGAUGGUGAAUCAAUCUUAAUUUGGCGCGAAAGAUAUAAACCGAGCGCACGACGCAUGGCAACCACCAUUUUUACAAUUCCAUCGGGCCACGAGUAGCAAUGGGCUGGCUAGAGCAGCAAAUGGACGUCAUAGUAGCAGCAACUUAACAAUUAGCAAUCCAUUAAAAGAGAAAUUAUUAGAUAGGAUCAUUCUAGAGCACAUAUCUGACAUUAUAAAAUGCGAUGCAUCUAUUGAUACUGUCCGUCACAUGAUGGACGACCAUCCAACAACACGUGCAAUACAUAUCGCAUAGCUUAUGCUUGAGCACCGCUGUCCAUCACAAGAUAGACGGCAUCUACGCCUGCACUGCACACCUUAGGAGAUCCAUGCUCACCAUUUACCACAUAUUUCUCCUCCUGGAAGCUCAAGCCCAUGUAUGGAGAGUGUGGGACCAAAAGUUCUCGUAAUGCUGGACCAAAUGUUCCUCAACCCAUGGUAUCACUUCGGUGGUUGGCUCAAACAAGAUAAGCUGCGGGCCACUCCCUUUGACAUAGCACAUGGAAAGGGUAUCUGAGAGGCUACCAGCCAAAAUCAAGGCUCCAACAGCUUGGUGAACGAGGGGAUGGCAAGUGAUGCUCCGUUUGUUGCCAAACUGAUUGUCAAGGAGUGCGGCAAAAUCUUCUAAGGCCUAAGGUUGCUGGUGGAAAUUGAUUAGUUGAGCUGAUAUGAGCCGUUCAAGGUUUUAUUUAAGGGUAGCAUUUUCCUCCAUCGUCCCCAUCAUGCUCAGAGAAUCUCAAAUUUUUAGAGAGAGGAUAAUAUUUAUCUUUUGAAAUGGAUGUCUCCAUACAUUCAAUCAAAGCUUCUUGAAUAGAAAUGCAGGAUGGAGAUAGAACUAAGUUUUAGUUAGUUAAAAAAUUUUAUUAUUAUUUUUAAAUUGACAAACUUUUUUCAAAGAAAUAUGACUCUUCAAAAGAGAACAUUAGUUUCUGAGACAUUAUCUCUUUUUGAAACUAUGGAGUCUCCUUGAUCAUGCCAACAAAGUCUAUAAAUAGACUCUAUAUCUAACUGUUUUAAAAAACAAUUCUAAAAACAUCAUUCUCUUAUUUCUUCUCCCUUAUGCUUUGUUUGGGACUUUUCCUUUUGAGAAUGAGAACCCACCUUGUCUCCUUAUUCCUUUUCCACUCCUUUUUCUUAUUUAGACACCUGAAGGAAGGGGGUGUUUAGUUCAUGAUCGGAAUCAAAAUCGAAAUAUAUUAGAAUGGGAAUCAAAAUGACAAUAUCUCCUAAAAUGUUUGGUUCGUGAUUGAAAUCGAACUCAGAAUAGAGAUUUGUUCCUUAUUGGGAGAGUAGGGAUUGGUUCGUAAUCAGAAUCGAUAUGAGACUCCUUUUAAUCAAAUUGUUUAGGUUUAGAUUAAAUAGAUUAGGAUCAUAAACAAAUCAAUCUAUUUAAACCAUUUAAUAUUUGGAUUGGAUUUGGAAUUCAGAUGUCUGAUACAUCUAAUCCAUUUAAUAUUUAGAUCGAAUGUGUUAGAUAAUUUAUUUAACCAAUUUAAGUCCUGUUAAACUUAUUUAAAAAUCUCCUUAACCUAUUUCUGAUUCGUGUAAUCCGAUCUAUUUAAUAUGUUUAAUUUAUUUAAUCCAUUAAAAAUUUAUUUAAUCUAUUUGACUCGUUUAGCCUAAUUUGAUCUAUUUAAUAAACAGAUUGGAUUGAAGUCUGAAUUCUUGAUCUAGAUCGAAUUUCGAUUGAUGAUUUUUUGAUUUGAUCUGAUUCAAUUGCUGCACUUAUUUUUGCAAGACUUCAAAUAGUAACAAAGGAAAACAGUGGAGCUAGGGCUGAGCAAAUAACCGAAAUCCGAAGAAACACAUCCAAUCCGACCCAAUAAACAUCGGUUUUGAUUGGUUGAAAGGUAUAAAUCAGAUGGAAUCGGAUUGGGAUUUGUAAAAACUUGGUUGUUAAUGGUCGGAUUCAGUUCUUACACUUUUAAUCCAUAUAAAAUCAAACCCAACUGAUUCAGUAUUUUAUAAACUCACUUUCAUUCUGAGAUGGCAUCAUUUAGACUUCAAUAUUUUAAUACUUUAUUUAGACUUUAUUCUAAAGGUUUCAAUUUUUUUAUAUUAAAUUGAUAAAAAUAAAUAAAUAAAAUUAAGUGGAUCAAUAUUAUAUUUUAAAUCAAUAUUGAGUCAAUAUAUAUUGAAGUCUAAAUCGAUACAACUCAUUCGAACUCACUACAAAUUGUUCACUUCGAUUUCAAAUAAUUUAUACAUGAUAAAUAAUCAAUAAUAAAUUAAUUUUUUUUUAAUUUAAUUAAAUUUAUUAUUUUUUUUUUUUCAAUUCGAAUGUAUUUGAUUUGUGUUCAACCCUAAGCGGGGCUCCUUGAAUUUAUAAUUUUCAACGGUACCUUGGAUGUGGAAGGAUCCCGUUGGAAGAUCCCUCGUGCUAUUGCACCUGGGUGCAUGGAUUUCAGGGUAGUACGAUCCUCUCUCCCCAACGCAACGAAGAAAAGGAAGCUCGGAGGUGAACAGUGACAAGUGAGAGAGCCGACAAAACGCGGUACUCGCGUGUUAAUUGCCGGCCCAAUAUUUUGUUUUGGGACGGACGAGCACGUGAUGAGGUACGAGUAUGCGCGGCAGGUGGAGCCCUGUUCAAUGAUGGAAUGAAAUCACUGUUCCAUGGUGGGCUGCGAAGAAGAGCUAUUAAAGUGUUCUCUCAUUUGCGUGAUGAGUGGGCAAAAUCAUUCCCAAAUCUAAAACAUAUCAUUACAUUUAAUUAAAUACUAACACAGUGAUGCUAAGGUGCCCAAUCAAUCCAUUGCACAGGAAAAUAUCAUUAAAUACUAACACGGUGAUGCUAAGGUGCCCAAUCAAUACAUUGCACAAGAAUUUGGCCAAAGUCAUGGAAUUGGUGUUACACCAGCCAGUCAUGUAGAAGGAUGCCAUGGCCUUAACCGCUGACGCAGCAGCGAAAAGGAGCAAGCAAAAUACACGUGCAGCUGAAGCACUACGGGUAAGGUGGCGUGUUAUCCACCGUAGGAUUUAGCUUUAGUCCAUUUGGACCUGAUCCAAGUAAUAAUUAUACGCUUUUGUGGGAGUUUCAUGAAGAAAAUAAAAUCGCAGUCGCGUGGAAAACGGGAAUACCCGAGAGCAGGGUGCAUCACCAAUUAUAUUAAAAGAUGAUGUAGAUAAUCCAAUAGGUGAUUUUUCACGUUUCCGUAUUCUUCGGCUUUUUUUUUUGGGUAAGAGUAUUCUUCGUUUUUUUAAUGAUCUCACGUGUAAGAGGUGGUGCUAAAAUUCGGAAGCUGCCCCCUCUAAAGACCUACUUAUAGUAGUAGUACCAAAAUAGCAAUUAGCAAACAAUCCAUAAGAGACUCAGGGCCUGGAAAAUUAAAGAGUGCGAGUGUGAUGGAAUCCUUAGAUGGAGAAUGCCAAUCUUUGGAGCUCCUUAGAGCUCAAGCCCAUGCAUGGAACCACACAUUUAGCUUCAUAAAGUCCAUGUCCCUCAAGUGUGCCGUGGAGCUCGGCAUAGCAGACAUCAUCCAUACCCAUGGGAAGCCAAUCUCCCUCAUUGAACUAGCCGCUAAACUAUCCAUUCCCCCCACCAAAAACAACGACCUGCGCCGCCUCAUGCGCCUCUUGGUGUUCUCGGGAUUCUUCGCUCGGAAGCGUGAUGGAAACAGUCACGACCACGACGAAGAGUUGUACAUCCCCACCACCAUGUCUGCUCUCCUUGUCAAGGAGAACGAUGCGAACGUCUCCUCCUUCGUUCUCGCAAUGCUCGACCAAACGUUGUUCAACCCAUGGUAUCACCUCAGUAGUUGGUUCAAGCAAGAUAAGGUGCCCGCCACUCCCUUUUAGGUAGCACAUGGAAGGGAUGUUUGGGAGGCCAUCAGCCGAAGCCCGGCCUUCAACAGCUUGUGCUACGAGGCGAUGGCAAGCGACUCUCGGUUCGUGGCCAAACUGGUUGUCGAGGAGUGCGGCGAGGUCUUCCGAGGCCUGAGGUCGCUGGUGGAUGUCGGUGGGGGAAAAGGCACGAUGGCCCGCGCCAUCGCGGUGGCCUAUCCACAGGUGAAGUGCACCGUCCUUGACCUGCCUCACGUGGUAGCAAGCUCGGAAGCGAGCGAGGCGGUCCAGCUUGUCGCGGGAGACAUGUUUCAGUAUGUCCCUCCUGCGGAUGCAGUGCUGCUCAAGGUAUACUCCUGGUCUACCAUGUAUGGUAGCUUAGGUGAAGAUUCAGAUGGAGGAUUGAAUUAAGGGCCAUAACUUUGAUACAGCUGCCACAUCGUAUGUUUAAAAUAAAAAUAAAAAAAGCAACCUAAAACAAUUUUAAACCACGUAUUUUUAUUAAAGAUCUGAAUUUUGAUAUAAUCUGCUUUCAAGCGUGAAUAUUCCCUCUAUUUAUCACAUUUGGAUUUGAUCCUUAGAUGGCCUUUAGAGACUCAAAUGGAAUUCACCACAAUGAUACCACAUUAUCAAUGAUCCAAAUCUCAGGGUGAUUUGAUUCCUACUAAUUUAAAAUCGCAAUAUUUGGUGGGCCAUGUUUAGUGAUUAAGGAUCUUCAUGUAUCUAUAAGUAACCUAUUUGCGAUUCUAUAAAAAAUUCAAGCUCACUGAUCAUUUAAUAUCAAAAUUAUUCUUGAUAUAUUCCAUAAAAAUUAUAUUUAUAAAUAAUAUACAAUUUAUUAUAAUAAAUAUUAAUAUUAAUUAUUAAUAUAUUUCAUAAAAAUAUAUUUAUUAACCCUAUAAAUUAUUAAUCCUACAAAGAUAUAUCAAUUUUUAUUUAGAAUUAAUAUUUUUAUUGAUGCUCAUAAUUAUAUUAUUUUUAAUACUGAUAUUUAUUUUUAUUUGAAAAAUAAUGCAAAUAGAAAUAAUAUGUCAUAUAAUUUUGUUAAAUAAAUAUAAAGUACAAUAAUAUUUUUCUACCAUAAUUUAAAAUUAUCAUUAAUAAUAUGAUUAACAAUAUAUUACAAUAAUUACAAUCACGUAGGAUCAUAAUGGUGUAUCCAAAAAUAGUGAUCUAAUCAUCUCUACCCUUAUCAUCCUUGAUCUUGUGAUGAUCAUCCCAUACCAAAGCUCCCUUAAUGGUUUCCGACAAAAUUUAAUACAAUCAACAACCUUAUAAUGAGGGCCUUGGAUCUCUAAUAUAAAAUUAUUUCUAGCAUCAGUUUUUGUGUUCAAGAAAUUUGGACCUUAGAUAAGCUAAUUAAGUUUUUUCAGAAAAUUUCAAGUCUAAUAAUCAAUCUGCUAAUAGUGAUUAAAAAACAAUAGAGAACCAAUUGCAUGCUAAAUCAUGACUUGUAUCAUUACCCCAACAAGCGAGUGCUCUAGAUUUAUGCCAGAUAAGACACCAAAGCUUAAUUACCCAAAGAUGGCAGAUUUUUUUUUUGGCUUGUCGAUUGCCAUCCCUGCUAGUAUAUAAGACGUGAAGCUGAUCCGUUGAUCAGAUCUGUGCACCGACUUGGAUGUUGGGCAGCUAGGCUGUGUCUUUGUAANNNNNNNNNNNNNNNNNNNNNNNNNNNNNNNNNNNNNNNNNNNNNNNNNNNNNNNNNNNNNNNNNNNNNNNNNNNNNNNNNNNNNNNNNNNNNNNNNNNNNNNNNNNNNNNNNNNNNNNNNNNNNNNNNNNNNNNNNNNNNNNNNNNNNNNNNNNNNNNNNNNNNNNNNNNNNNNNNNNNNNNNNNNNNNNNNNNNNNNNNNNNNNNNNNNNNNNNNNNNNNNNNNGUAUAUUUGAUAACUUCUUAUGGUCAUUAUUUGUAGUGGGUGCUACAUGAUUGGAGUGAUGAUGACUGUGUAAAGAUACUGAAAUGCUGCAAGAAGGCUAUUCCAUCCAAAGAAGAAGGGGGGAAGGUGAUUAUUAUUGACAUGGUAGUCGACUUGGAUAUUGGCUUUCCUGAGUUGGGCGAAACACAGCUACUCUUUGACCUAGAGAUGAUGGUCCAAACCACAGGUGAGGAAAGGAAUGAAUGUGAAUGGAAAAAAAUUUUCAUGGAUGCAGGUUUUACCGAUUACAAAAUCAUACCAGCAUUAGGCUUGCGAUCGAUUAUCGAGGUUUAUCAUUGACUACUGAAUAGAUAAGGAAAACCAUCUAUACUAGUGGCCAUGAAUUGAUCAGUUUGCUGCUUCCUUCCAAUUUAAUUUUAGAUCUUCAUUAUGUAUAUUGCAUUGGAUGUCUUAUGGUGUUCUUAUUGUUUGUAGUAGAAUUACUAUGAUGUUUGUAUUGGUCUUCGUUGAGUUUGUGAUUUGUCUGCCGCAUUUAAGUUGAUUGAGCUAAAAUAAUAGAAGGUACUUCUUUAGUUAUCUCUUUACAGAUGUUUGCCAUGCGUUAAUGGUUGAAAUCUUUUUAGAUAAUACUAAUCUGGACUCAUUAUGUCUAAUGAAAAGAAAAAAAGACAGAGUAAAUUACAAAACCCCCCGAGGUUUGUGUUUAUUACAGUUCGACCUGCUUGGUUUCAAAACCGACACUUACCCCCCUUGAAAUAUAAUGGUAUUAUUCAAACUAUUUCAGAAAUAUAAAAUGUCUAAUUUAUCAUUCAUUAUAAAAAAGUAUCCAUCCAAACCCCUGUACUUGCCUUGAACUACUAUGGCUUCAUAUAAGAGCAAAGAGAGGAGGGAGAUAGAGAAAAAGCCGACGAGAGAGAGAGAUGAUCUCUUAUCUUUAAUUCAGAGCUACAGAAAGUUCUUCUGAAAAGAAAAGCUCGUAGAGACACACCAGGCCACAAGAAAGAGAGAGCUUUGAAGGGCGGGUACACUCUCCUUCCCCCUCUUCUCCACUACAAUAAGCUUGGGCUGUAAGGAUAUAGGUUUGAAGGAGCAAAGAGGAAAAUGCGCGAAAAAGUUAGAAAGAGAGAAAGACUUUCAAGUGGAUUAUGAGAUCCCAAAGACCCAACAAUCUAUUUUUCUAUUUUUUUUUUCACUUUUGAUACAUCUUCCUCCCUUUCAAAAUAACCCACCUAACUACAAUGCCUGCUGCACCGAGAACCAGAUUGGCUCCACCCUAUCCACCGGCCAUGCCACCAUCACCAUCACCUCUUCCAGCGCUCACUUUUACAUCUAUGGCAUCAGUGGCCACUGCUCCGUCGGUCAGAAGCUGGCCAUCACCGUUGCCUUAAGAAAGUUAUCGCCAUCGCUGAUGAUAGCAAGGGGGGAAGGUGGCAGAGGAGGGCGCCCAUGAUGCAGACAGAGAAGAGGCUGAUGGUGGGGAAUGGUGAGGUCGCCCAUAAUGGCAGUGAUGGCGAGUGAUGGCGAGGUGGUGGAGGAGGGCACCCAUGACACAGAUGGAGAAGAGGCCGAUAGCAUGGAAGGAGAGGUGGAGAACUGUGAGGUUGCGUUUGAUGGUGGUGGUCCAGGAUAAGUGGGUGUCGACAAUGACAGCAUCGGAAUGGUGGAGGCUGAGGAGGUAGUAGUGGUCGGGGCUAGUGAGAAGAGAAGUGACAUCGAUUAUGUUGCAUUCGGAGGAGAAAGGGCGCUAAUGUUCUUGAUGCUGGGGGGGAGGCCGGAGGCAGCGGGAGAGAAGGGGUAGAGGAGGCUGAGGAGAGGGAGACCGAUAGCAAUGACACGAUCGACGAUGAGCUGUAUGAAGGUGGCAUUGGUUGGGGUGAGGAGGACGGUGGAGUCGACGCUGCUGGUGGUGAAAAGUUGGGCAAUGUUGAUCAAGAGGAUCAUGUGGCCCAUCGCAAAGAAGGGGAUCAUGUCGGCAUAGAUGGCACUGGGCCCGCAGAAGAAAUCAUAGAGGUGGAUGUGGUUGGUGGCAUGCUCGUUCCUCAUCUUGAGCAGGCUGGGCCGAGCGUAAAGGAAAAAGGAAGGGCUGGCGACGGUGCUAAGGGCGGAAAAGAUGGAAAGUGCCGAGGAGGUGAAGAAAGUUGGGAGAAUUUUUUUUUAAUAUUUUGUUCGAUGAUAUUUUGAUCUUUUUAAAAAUCUAUAAUGAUUUGGUAAUGAGAUUCCCAUUAACACUAAUGAACUGUCUAACAGCAUGAGCUAGAUUGUAGGGUUGACUAAAAUAUUAAGGGUAUAACUAUAGGUUUUGAAAACUACUGGGUAUACCUGCAUUUUCGACCUAUUCUCAGGGGGUUUUUGUAAUUUAUUCAAAGACAAAAGACAUCUUAACUAUGAAUUGACAAGUUGAAAUCAAUUAAAUGCAUUUAAUCAUGGGAAACUUAUAAAGGCCCAUGUUAAGAUAAAUGCCACCAACAUCCAACAUCAUUAUUGUAUUCUAUACCAGAAAAUUCAAGCUUUUCCUAGAAUCCUAGAGAUGAGAAGUUGAAAUAUUAUGCACUUCACAUCAAGAGAGAAAAUACAUGCCUUAGAUUGCUUAAAAUAAAUUUAAUAUAUUUGGUUAAAAGAACAUUAUGAAAUAACAUUUAAUAUUUAUAGUAUAAAUAACUAAUUAAUCAAUGGGAUGGUACUCAAAUUACUAUAUAUUUAUUUUAUUAUAAAGAAAUAUAUAUUAAAAAAAGAGGCAAUUCAGUAGAAUUUAUAAAAUAUUGAUUCGAUCCAGAAGAAAAAAGAUUUUUCUCAAUCCGUUCAGCUCGAAUCUCACUAAGAAAAAGAUAGAAGAAGAGAAUUUUUGAAUCUCUAGAUUGCUCAUCCUCCUCACCAGAUGGAGGUUCAUGAUCUUAAAAUAUUGAAGAUAGCUUCGCAAUAAGAGUUGGCACUGCUUUUGCUGAAGGAACCGUCAAUCUGAAAAUAAUCUUGAUGAUUUGGUAAUCUUCAUCUCUAGUUGUGUAAGAUGUCUCUUUAUCUCACCAUCUAUCGAGGAAGAGCUAACAGCCAUACUCAUUUUGAUCUUUCAAUAUACUUGAAGUACGGAUUGCUCUUGUCUUGAUUGCUUAUACUGCUCAUGCAUUCGGACCAUGCACUAAAAGCCGUCAACAGAUAUAGAGGACCAAUGCUCUCAUACCAACUUGAUUAAAUCAAGAAGAAGAAAGAUUUUCUUCAAUUCACUCAACUUAAUCUCACAAAAAAAAAAGAUAGAGGAAAAGAAUCUUCCAAAGUAGGGCUUAACUCUAUUUUCUUUCUUAUUUAUUAUUUUUAUUGAUUAAAAAUGAGGUACAUAUCUCAUAUUUAAAAAAUGAGAUCCGUCCUUAUACAAAUAGGUCAUAUUCUUUUGCUAGUUCUAAUGAGAUUUUUUUACCUAAAAUAUACAUGUUUGGUAGAAAUAAUUUAAAAAAAUUUAAAACUUUUUAAAAGAUAAAUCUCGACUUUUAUAUUAAUGCUACAUUCUGUCAUUUCAUCGAAUUUUUUUUGGAUUUGAAGCUACACUCAAUCAAAAUCUUAACCAAAAGAAAAUUUUUUAGGUUGACUAGCUAGUUUCAUCACCCAAAUGAAGGAAUUUCAGUCUAAUCAUUGAGACGUCACUUUUCUGGUGGGAUGGCACUACAUCAUAGAUCUAAAAAAACUAUCUAAUUAAAAAAAGAAUCAUUGAAAUUGCAUGUCGUAUGUCCAAAUUAAGAUUUUUGAAAGUGUGAGUUAUAAAUUAAUUUUUUAAUAUGAUAGAUUUUAUUUCUAGAUUAUUUAGUUCUAUUUAUAAUAAUUAAAAUAAUUUAUAUCAAAUUUAAUGGUUCUCCCAAAUUAAUUAUAAUAUUAUUGGGCUAUAUGGACAUGGGUGACAGCUGAUGUCGGAGUAGCAUGCCAAAUGACCACUCUUCUUUGGCAAAUUCCGAGGCCUGACACGAAGCUUAAUUACCCAAACCUGGCAAAACCUUUCUUGGCUUGUCAAUCAUCUAUUCUCACUCGUAUCCAAGAGAGGAAUGCGAAGCUACUCCAUUGUUCAGAUCAGCUCACUGAAUUUGAUGUUUGGCAGCUGAACUGUGAUGCUUGUAAUAACAUAACUAUGGUUUUUUUUUUAAAAUUUUAUUUUUUAUUUUUUAAAAUAUUCUUUUUUCGAUCUUAUUUNNNNNNNNNNNNNNNNNNNNNNNNNNNNNNNNNNNNNNNNNNNNNNNNNNNNNNNNNNNNNNNNNNNNNNNNNNNNNNNNNNNNNNNNNNNNNNNNNNNNNNNNNNNNNNNNNNNNNNNNNNNNNNNNNNNNNNNNNNNNNNNNNNNNNNNNNNNNNNNNNNNNNNNNNNNNNNNNNNNNNNNNNNNNNNNNNNNNNNNNNNNNNNNNNNNGUAGUAUAGUAGUAUAUAUAUAUAUAUAUAUAUAUAUAUAUAUAUAUAUAUAUAUAUAUAUUUUUGGCAAACAGAGGGUAGAGGAUGGGGGUGUUUUUAUGUUCAUACCGACGGCCGUCGGGAUCUGGGGAGAGGGGAGCGGAGGUGGUGGUCACAUAGAAAUAGAAGUAGAUGAUGGGUACGGCACGGACAAAGACGAGGUGGGGCUGCGGUGGAUACCUCAUGAGGAGAGAGAGAGGUUGUGGGAUGGGACCGUGGCAGAAUAGGUAUGGAUCCUACGGUAGUCGGUGCAAAGGACAGUGGCAGGGUGGGACCACGAGUGGCGCACUAGAGAGGGGUAGGUGUGGGUCGGCUGCCGGCAGUGGAAGGUCAGUCGGGAGAGAUAAGAGGAAGGAAAAGAAGAAAUGAGGAAAAAAAAGAAAUAAAAAUAAAUAAAAAUAAAAAUAAACUUCAAAAAAAUAAAAAUAGAAAUAAUAAUAAUAAUAAUAAUAUAUUAAUUUUAGAAAAUAAAUUAAAAAAAUUAUUAUAGUUGAUUAUUGAGAAAAUUAAUCUUUAGAAAAUAAUAGAAAUUAAUAUUUUGUUAUUAUUUUCUUAAAAUUAUUUUUUAAAAAUAAUAUUUUGUUAUUAUUUUAAAAAUAAUAAUUAAUAUAAAUAAUUAAAUAAUUAAAAAUAUUUAAAAUAAUUUUUUUGUAAUGAAAAAUAAAAUUUUAAAAUAAUGAUAAAAAUAAAUUUUUAAAAUAAUUUAAAAUUUAGUAAUAAAAAUUUAAAAUAUAUAUAUUUUUUAAAAAUAAUUUGAAAAAAAAUGAGUAGGUGGGUGCGAAGGAGCGACAGUCGGACGGAAGAGUGGUGGGUGGCACCGGAGGAGGGUGGGUGUUCGGCACGAAGCUGCGAGAGGAGAAGAAAGAAAUAAAAAAAUAAAUUUUUAAAAUAAUAAUAAAAUAGCACCACUGCCCCUUUCGGCACCACCACAGCUCCAUGCCGCCACCACUCCUCAGUGCCCCCCCACAUAUUUUUUAAAAUUAUUAUUUUAAAAUAAUAUUUUAUCAUUAUUUUCAAAAUCUAAUUAUUUUCAUUACAAAAAAUAAUUUAUUUUUAAAUAAUUUAUUUUAUUUUAUUUAUCAUUUUAUUUAUUUUUUUAUUUGUUCUAGUUUUUCUUAUUUUUAAGCAUUUUUUUCAAUAUUAUUUUUUAAAAAUAAUAUUUUAUCAUUAUUUUAAAAAUCUAUUUUUAAUUACGAAAAACCUUCUAAUUUUAAAUAUUUUUUAAUAAUUUAUUAUUAUUAUUAUUUAAUAUAUUAUUUUUAUAAUUAUUUUUUAUUAAUAAAUUAUUAAUUUUAAAAAAUAAUUCUUUUAUUUUUAUGCCCUUCCUAUCCUUUCCCUCCGCACGCCACAACCCCCCAAUCCUCGGACCCUAGUCGUCCGCGCCACCCUCUGCACCAACCUUUGGCCCUCCAGUGAACCCGCACCCUGCGCCCUCUGCAGCAUCCUCCAUCGCCACCCUCACCCACCCUAUCGUGAACAUGCAUCCCACCCCCCGUGGCCCCCGAUGCUACCCUUUGGCCACCCACACCACCGCCAGCCGCCCGCUAUCCCCGGCCACCCGCACUGCCUCCCGACCCCUCAAUGUGUACCCAAUGCGGAGGAGAAAGGAAAUUGCUGCUUGGGCUAACGAUUUCAUGAAAUCAUAGGUCCAAUUGGCAAUUUCACUGAAGUCACCAGUCCGUUCGGCGAUUUCAAUGAAAUCAUCGUUCGGCGAUUUCAGUGAAAUUGCUGGCCCAAGUGACGAUUUUUCUUAAAUCGCUGGCCCAAGUGACGAUUUUUCUUAAAUCAUCGGUCCAAGUGGCAAUUUCAUUGAUAUCGCAUGUUCAAUUGGCGAUUUCAAAAUUUGUCCAUCUCAUCUGGCCAGUUGGGCUCGAGAUGGGCUGAGUUGGUCAUAAAUUUCACGAAUGGAUUGUAGUUUUGAAAAUAAAUCAGAAGAGGUGGUAUUUUUGGAAAUAAAUAAUUAAAAAAAUUAAAAAAAAUCCCAUAACUACUGCUGUUGACACUUCCAACCCAUUUUCCCAGUUGACACUCAAUUACACCCGUGACUUGUUUGCUGAACGAAAAACCUUCUCUUGGUAAGUCGUGGAUAAGUUUAAACAAAAGAAAAUAUAAUCACCAAAAUUCUUUUGCACAGUAAACUAAAGAUAACAAAAUUAAAGGAAUCAAAUUAUCUAUUUAUAUUAAAAAUAUAUAUGAGCAUGCCAUUUAACGUUAAUGGUGUUCGAACAAUGCUUAAGAAUGUAUAAGAGAAAAUAUUCUAUUUUUUAUCAAUUUCUCUUAAGCUAAUAAAUUCGUAUCUACAAUUCCUCUUACUAUAAAUCAAAUAUUCUAUCCUCAUUCAAAAUAGCAAAAUAUCAUUUAUUAGUAUAAUUUUAGGUGAUGACGCGAUUUUAACAGUUGCGCUCGAUAUCUCUGUCAGUCCAAUCAAGAUAAAUUUAUUUGAUCAUGAGUAGACUACGAUAAAAAUAGUUCAAUAACGAUCGAAGGUGAUCAAAUUAGUAAUAUUCAACAAAAAUCAAGAUGAAAGUCAGUAUACUAUUCGAUGAUCAGAGGCCAAUUCAUUAAAAUAACUUUAUUUAAUUAUGAGUACGUAGAUAUAAAAAUUUAAUAAGAAGUAAUAAAGAUUAGAUUUUAUGAUGCUUGAUAAAAACUCGAAUAGUGUGGAUAUAUUGCCUGACUAAUAGAGUGAUUUAAUAAAAAUUAUGGAUAAUUAAAACAAAUAAUAUCUGAUCUAAUCAGGAUGGGUACCAGCAUGCUAUCCAACGACCAAAGAUCAGGAUUUCUUAACCAGGGUCGAUAAAAUGCAUUGAGUGAAGAUGAAAAUUCUAUGUGAGAGAAAUAAUUUAGAGUAAAAAAAUUAUAGAAUGAGAAAUUAGAGAGAGAAAGAAAAAAAAAAAAAGAGGGAGAAACUCUCUCCUCUUUUCUUUUCCCUUUCGCUUUUUUUUUCUCUCUUUUUUUUCUUUCUUUUCUUCCCUUUCUUCUUCCCCUUUUCUCGGCAAAACAGGGGACUACCUCUCCCUCCUUCUCGAAUCAAGGGAACCUCUGCCCACGGCGAUGGCUAUGGCCGGAGGACUGGCAAUAGAAGGCCACCAAACGGUGGCCGCCUGCUAGAAGCAAGGUGGCCGAAAAAAGGAAAUCAACAAAAACAAAACCGGCUAUCCUAGGAACAGGGGGAAGCAACAAAACAUUGUAGUUUUCGCUCAACCGAGCGAUUAUAUGGCGAUAUAUCGAUUGAUAAUGGGAGCCAAAGAGCCGAGGGGGGUGGGGAAGCAAGAUAAUCAAGAAUCUCUUAUCUUGGCUCCGGCAAGAUUUUAAGAUGAGAUUGUGAAUCGGCAUGGCAGCACUUGGAAGGAAGAAGAGUAAGAAACUCCGGCUGAUCAACGAUGAUCUUCCAAAGGGCCUUGAGGAAGAAGCCCAAGCCCUAAAUAGAUGGCUGAUUGGAGGAGAAAAGAGGCCAAAAAAAGGCCGACUCCCAUCAUAAUUUGGAGUCGGAGUCGAAGGAGAAAGGAAGACUCCGAUGUUGCUCUUUUGGGCCAUCUCCUAGUGGCUGAUUCUGCUACCUGGGCCGGUCAAAGUAACAAGCCCAAACUUCAUUUGAUCCACUGGGAUGGGUCAUUACAACUUGGCACAAAAACUUACAGUAGUUUGUUGAAGGAAAAUUUCUUUGUGGCCGUGGGCCCAUAUAGAGUGGUAACCGACAUGAAUCUUGCUCGUUGGUGAUGUGGCCUUGGGAUACAUAAGGAAUUCAUACAUAGAUUUUAUCUACCAUAUGUAAUAUAGAUAAAAUUAAUAAAAUAAUAUCAUAUCAAUAUUUUGAAUUAAAAAAUUUUAUAAUUAUCUCAAUAUGUAGGUAAAAUCAAUAAAAUAAUAUCACAUCAAUAUUUUAAAUUAAAAAAUACUGCAAUCAUCUCAAUAGCAAUAUAUAUGUUGCAAGGCAGUUAAGCAGCCAUAUAUUUGGUUGUAAUUUUUUUUAUUUAAAAUAUUAAUAGGAUAUUUUUUAUUAAUUUUAUCUAUAGUAUAUACAGUACAUUAAAUUUAUAUAAAAAUUUCGUAUGAUAUACGAUGUAAUUACUCCAUCACCUUAAACGUUAAUUUCAUUGCAUGAUUGCAUUGGGCUCCACCUGUCUGGAUGCUAUCAGCACGUCACGUAUGACAUGGUGCUGAAAGGGACUCGUGCGCCAUCCAAGGCGCGCACGUCCAAGAACAAAAUAUUUGGAUGCCCCACCUCCUCGCAACACCAGCACGGGCAGCAAGAGUCCGCACGCUUUCUCCGCCCUCGCGAGUCACCACUCGCCACCUAUUUUUCUAAUUUUUUUCUUUUCUUCGUUGUGUUUUGUGAGGGAGAGAACGGUAGCACUCGACCAUUCACCCAGUUGCGGAAGCCCUAGCUGGGGGUCUUCCAAUCAGAGUCGAUCCUAACAUGUUUUAGACCUGAAAUAAAUGAAAAAAAAAUGAGAUCUUCUCUAUUAAAAAUUAACAUACUUUAAAUAUUAAUUAUCAUUAAAAAAUUAAUCUACAUGCAAUAAUUUACUAUAGAUAUAUUCGUUAAGCAGCAUGUAAAACUCAUCAUUAAUCUAUAUAAUUAUUGUUCUUGUUAUAAUAUUGUAGAAAACCAUCCUUACACCCAAUUGGAACAUCAAUGCAAGGCCUGGGGCCUGGGGCGGUCUCUCAGUUCGACCUACCCCAAGGCCAGCCCUGCUUCCAGUAGGGUCCGUCCAAUCAAAGGUCUUGUCGGAAACUAUGAUCCAUAGUAAUAGUAAAUUAGUAGAGAAGAAAACAACACUUAGAACAAAAUAUUUGGUUGGCCCGCUUCCACACAACACCAGCACGAGUAGCACGAGUCCACACCCUUUCCCAGCCCUCGCGAGACACCGUUCACCACCUACUUUGCUAUUUUUUUUUCUUUUCUUGGUUGUGUUUUGGGAGGGAGAGAACUGUAGCACUUGACCAUUCACCCAGUUGCGGUAGCCCGAGGGGGCUUCCAACGGGGUCCGUCCAAUCCAAGGUCCUGUAGGCAACUAUAAAUCCAUAGCAAAUUAGUAGAGAAGAAAACUACAGUGAUGACACAGGUGGGUCCCGAAUACGUACGAUCCCCAUCUGCACAUGCCAUGCGUGACGUACGUGCUGAAAGCACUUGCAGGUAGGUGGAGCCCUGUACAGUUAUGCAAUAAUAAAACUAAUGUUAGAAGAUGGUCUGAGAAGAAGUUUUCGUCCCAUUUCCAUAAUAAGUAGGCAAAAUCAUUUCCAACUCUUAAAAAUUGCAUCCAAUUUAAUUAAAUACUAACAAACUGAUGUUAAGAUGCCCGUACAAUAUGUUCUAGGGAACAACAUCAUACCGUAUGGAUGAAAUAAAUUGGUGAGAUCCAUCGAAUUAGUGUUAUACAUAAAAGUUAUCAGGCAAAGAUGCAGAUUUUAUCCGCUUCAAAAUCAUACCGGCAUUAGGUUUGCGAUGAGUUAUCGAGGCUUAUCAUUGACCAGUGGAUAAAUAAGUGAAAUCAUCUACUAGCUAGUGGCCAUGAAUUGGUCACUUUCCUGCUUCUUAAUUUCAAAUUUAAUCUUAGCCCUUUAUUAUGUAACACAUCAGAUGUCCUAAUAUUCUCAUCGAUUGUUUGUAGUGAAAUUAUUAUGAUGUCUGUAGCGAUCUUUGUUGAGUUUGUAAUUUAUUUACCACGUUAGGUUGGUUGGUUUUCUCAAAAUAAAAAUAAUAAUAAAAUAUUUUUUUAUAAAAAUAAAAAAAAUUAUUUCUUCACUUGUCUCGAGAGAUAGUUUGGUACACUAUGCAUCGGGAGUUGAAACGUAUUAGUUUGAUCGAAAUAUGUGUAAUAAAAAAAAUAUUUUAACUAUAAAAUUAUUUGUUAAAAUCAAUCAUACGUGUUCAAUACAAAAAAAUUUAUAGAGAUCCGCAUCAAAAAAAAGAUGCCACUGACAUCCAACAUGUUCAGUCUAUUCUCUAUCAGAAAAAUUCAAUUUUUUUCUAAAAUCUUAUGAAUGAUAAGUUAUGGUGAUAGGACAGCUAAUAUUGACAUAGCAUGCAAAACGAUAAAUUGUUGCGAAAGUCAUAAAAUUAUUGUACGUGAUACAUGAAAGUGAUGCAGAAAGAUGCCGAAGCCUCAACCGCUGACGUCAGCAGCAAGAAGGAGCAAUCCAAGCGGACGUUCGGACUAGUGACUUAGACAGCUACAUUUUGGUAGCUUUUGCGGGAGUAAUUUUCAUAAAAAAAAUAAAUCAGUGUCACAUGGAAAAUAAGAGUACGGUUUGCCAGCAACAUGGUUCAUGGCCAAGUAUUUUUUAAGAUUAUAUGGAUAAUAAAAUGGGUGAUUUUAGAAUUUUCAUGUUUUGACCUUUUGUCUUACUUCUUUUCUUAAUAUAAUGAUUUAUUUUUAAAAAAAAGAAAAAAUUUAAUAUUCUUCUUCUUUUAUCAUCUAACUUGAACAAAAAUACUAAAAUGAUUCAAGGAGGCUGUCCCUUCCAACCAAAAGGGAGAACAGAUGAUUAUUAUUAAUAUGGUAGUCAACGUUAAUAUUGGCUGUUCCGAGUUUGCCAAAACACAGUUUUUCUUGGAUACGUACAUGAUGGUCUGUACCAUAGGGAAGUGAAUGAAUGAAUGCGAAUGAAGAAAAAUUUUCACUCAUGCAGGUUUCAGCAGCAAUAAAAUCAUACCAACAUUAGACUUGCAAUUAGUUAUUGUGGCUUAUUGUUGACUAGUGGAUAGAGAACAAUAAGUCCACACCACAAGAAAGCAAAGGUAUGCGAAUGGAGAAUAAUUUUCACUAAUGCAAGUUUUACCAACUACAAAAUUAUACCGGCAUUAGGCUUGCGAUUGGUUAUCGAGGCUUAUCAUUGACCAGUGGAUAGAUAAGGGAAGCCAUCUACUAGUACCAUGAAUUGAUUUUUUUACUUCUUCCUUCAAGUUUAAUCUUAGAUCUUCAUUACGCAACACAUCAGAUGUCCUAUAGUGUUCUUAUUGGUUGCUUUUAGUAGAAUUACUGUGAUGUUUGUAUUGGUCUUUGUUGCGGCCAAUCGCCUCGUCAUCCGAUCACCGGAAAACGUGCACCUGCAAAAACGAGAAGUCCACACUGACCGGAGGCGGCUCCGGUGGGGACUCUCCGACGGUCAAGUUAGAGAGGUGACUGGGCAACAGUGAAAUAAAGACAGAGAGCUCGAUUGAAGGAGAGAGAGGGAGAGAGGAGCGAGCAUGUGAUUUUGGAGUCGAGAAGUGGGGGGAGCGGAUCGGAUCCCUUGCACUGUUGCCUUCCCCGAUUUAUAUAGUGGAGCACGGUAUGGCGCCGUCAUUAAUGACGCAGAUAAGUGAGGAAUUGUCAACUCACUGUAGAUUGUCAGAGUCGCCGUGAAAGUGUCAUGUCGCCGUGGGGCUGUCAAAUCAAUAGGGUUGACAAUGUCCUCGGCGGGACAAUACCCCUAGGUGGCCGUGCCGCAUGUUGCUGUCAGGACUGACAGGGUCUGACGGCUGUACGGUGAUCAGAGGAGUCGACCGACCCUAGGUCGGUAACCAGCUGAGUGACAUCGGGCUCCUCCGUUGGUCGGCGAGUUUUAUGUGAGUAGGCCAUCAGACCUUCCGGUUCAGUCGGUCGAAAAAGGUACGCCCGAUAUAUCCUCAGUCGGUCGUGAGCCGAUGAUUGGCCGGCGAUGGCGUCAGUCGGCCGGUCCGACUGUCAAUCGGUCGGUCGGUCCCUCCGGCUGUAAGUCGGUCGGUCGGUUCCUCCGGCCAUCGGUCGGUCGGUCGGUGGGUAUUCCCCAACAGUCUUCAUUGAGUUUGUGAUGUGUUUGUCAUGUUAAGUUAGUUGGCUUUCUCAAAACUAAAAGAAUAAAAAGACUACUUCACUUGCCUCUUUAGAGAUAAUUUGCAAUGUACCAAGAGUUUGAAUCCUUUUAGACAAUGUUAAUCUGGUCGAAUUAUGUGUAACAAAAAAAAUAUAUAUAUAUUUUAACUGUGAAAUGAUAGAUUGAAAUCAAUAACACGUGUUUCAAUAUGAGAAACUUACAGAGACCUACGGUGAGAAUAAUGCCAAUGACGUCCAACCUCUUUAUUCUAUUCCCUAUCAGAAAAAUUCAAACUUUUCCUAGAACCCUAUAAAUGAUAAGUUGAAAUACUAUGUACUUCACAUUAAAAAAAAAAAAUACAAGCCUUUUAUUAUCUAAAGUAAAUUCAUUAAUAUAUUUAGUUAAAUAAGUAUUAUAAGAUAUCAUUUGAUAUUAAUAAUACAAUUAAAUAACUAAUUAAUCAACGGGAUCCUACUCAAAUUACUACAUAUUUAUUUUAUUAUAAGUAAUAUAUAUUUUAUGUAAAAGAAAAGAAUAAUUCAUCAGAAUUUGUAAAUUAUAUUUUCAUAGAGCUCUGUGGUGAUAGGGACGGCUUAUGUUGACUUAGGAUGCAAAAUGACAAAUCUAGAAAAGUCUCUUUAGCUAAAUCCGAGAACGCAGGUCGCUGGGAUGUCGGCAAAAUGAAAUUAACGUUUCAUUGCAUAAUAAGUGGGUAAAAUCGUUGGCGACAAAGUGAUUACUAAGGUGCCCAAUCAAUACAUUGCAUAGAAAUACAUCUUGUCAUGGGUGUCCACUUCGUGAUGCCCACGGGUGAAAUGCUGGACCACCUUUUCCUUCAAUGGGACUUCUCAAAAGCAUUCUGGACAAAUAGUCUAUUCAAUUUCAAUGUCCCAACAUUUCUUACCUCAUUCUCUGGAUUAUGGGAUUUUUAGAGACAUCUUCAACCCAUUGAAAACUGUCAACCGGCAUUUGAAUUCUUAAUUACCUCAGCUGUCUGGUGCCUCUGGAAAAAACGAAACGGCAAGAUCUUACGUUUUGAAGCAACCAUGCCCCCCGGAAUGGCAAGACAAACAAUCCUCAAUUUCCAAAAUUGGGUUCCGGCCGAUUGUCUCCCACCCAAACAGCUAGCAAUUGGUUGCCUAACUUCCCUAAGAAAGGCAGCUGCUAGACUCGCAAUCUUAUUGUGUUUGAAGGUUGUCUUCGAAACCUCAUCCUGCAGCUGCUAGACUCCACCUUUAGUGUUUUGUACCACUCCCCGCUCACGGGCCCGCUCUUUCUCUGAUUUGACACCCCCAUACAAAGCCGGGUUUCUAAUACCCGUAACUCAUUUCUUCCUCGCAUGUGACUGGAUGCUACAUCCGGUCUGUCACAUCAUGUACUAAGUAAAAAGAACAUAGCACAAUAAAAUAAAUCCUUGAGGGAAGUCCCUUGCUUCCUCCUGAAUUCUCAAAAAAAAAAAAAAAAAAAACAUCUUGUCAUGGAGACCGGAGGAAUUGGUGAAAGUCAUGGAAUUAUUAUACGUGAUACAUGAAAGUCAUGCAGAAGAAUACUGUAGCUUUAACCGCUGACCUCAGCAGCAAGAAGGAGCAACCCAAAUGGCCGUUCGGCCUCUAAUUCCACCACCAUGGAUGUGCAAUCUUGGGGUAUCGGCAGCUCCGUGAGCUCGGCUGUAUCUACUUCUCGGCUUGUGUUUUGGAUACCCUCAUCUUGCCCCAUGGUGAAAAUUAAUUUUGAUUCUUCCUUGUCCUCCAUAGCUACUGGCCUUGGCUACCUCAUUAGAGAUCACCACGGAAGUGAUAUAUUUGCUGGGUCUUCCCGAUCUUAUGCAACCUCUGCUUUAGAGGCUGAGCUGCAGGCGGCAUGGAGAAGCCUCUCAAUUUCUACUCACCAGCUUGGAUUCAAACGUAUCUGUUUGGAUGGGGAUUCUUUUGUUGUUGUUCAGUGGAUUCAUCAGGUUGCUAGAACUGAAUAUUCCUUGGCUCCCCUUCACCUGGUUCAUUCUCUUCUCCUGGACAUCUAGAACAGUAUAUCCUCCUUAGAUUAUUUCUCUGUUUCCCAUGUGCCGCGGGAAGGUAAUCAACAGGCGGAUGGGUUAGCUCAGCUGCUUGUUAAUUCAUCCUUCUGUUCUACUUCAUCUCUCUCUCCCUCCGUUUGUAAUCUUGUUCAGGCUGACAUGUUGGUGUGCAUUACCCUCAGCUGUAAUAUCAUCUAUUUUCUUUGUUUGGACUUUUGCCCCCUAUGUAAAAAAAUAAAAAACAGAGAGAGAGAAAGAGAGAGAGAGAAGAAGAAGGAGGAGGAAGACGUUCCGCCAACUGAUUUAGAUCGCUACAUAUUGGUAGCUUUUUUGCGGGAGUAACUUUCAUAAAAAAUACAAAUCGCUGUCAUAUGGAAAACAAGAGUACGGUUUGCCGGCAUCAUGGUUCAUGGCCACGUAUUUUCCUAGACGAUGUGGAUAAUAAAAUGGGUGGCUUUAAGGUUUCCACGUUGUUCUAAUCUUAUCAUCUAACUUGUAACAAGUGCCGCUAAAAUUCGAAAACUUUAGCGAGUAAAGACCUAUUUAUAUUAGGAGCAAAAUAGCAAUUAGCAUUCCAUAAGAGACUCAGGGCCUGGAAAAUUAAAGAGUGCAUGCGUGAUGGAAUCCUUGGACGGAGAAUGCCAAUCUUUGGAGCUCCUGAAAGCUCAAGCCCAUGCAUGGAACCACAUAUUUAGCUUCAUAAAGUCCAUGUCCCUCAAGUGUGCCGUGGAGCUCGGCAUAGCAGACAUCAUCCAUACCCAUGACAAGCCAAUCUCCCUCACUGAACUAGCCGCUAAACUAUCCAUUCCCCCCACCAAAAACAACGACCUGCGCCGCCUCAUGCGCCUCUUGGUGUUCUCGGGAUUCUUCGCUCGGAAGCGUGAUGGAAACAGUCACGACCACGACGAAGAGUUGUACAUCCCCACCACCAUGUCUGCUCUCCUUGUCAAGGAGAACGAUGCGAACGUCUCCUCCUUCGUUCUCGCAAUUCUCGACCAAACGUUGUUCAACCCAUGGUAUCACCUCAGUAGUUGGUUCAAGCAAGAUAAGGUACCCGCCACUCCCUUUGAGGUAGCACAUGGAAGGGAUGUUUGGGAGGCCAUCAGCCGAAGCCCGGCCUUC
rnacentral:lncRNA from 1 species